AGGAUUAUAGUUAAUAAUAACAUCUAAUUUGCAUUUAGAAAGUACUAAUGAAUUAGUUUAUCUUA
rnacentral:tRNA from 1 species